GAUGAACGCUGGCGGCGUGCCUAAUACAUGCAAGUCGAGCGAACAGACGAGGAGCUUGCUCCUCUGACGUUAGCGGCGGACGGGUGAGUAACACGUGGAUAACCUACCUAUAAGACUGGGAUAACUUCGGGAAACCGGAGCUAAUACCGGAUAAUAUAUUGAACCGCAUGGUUCAAUAGUGAAAGACGGUUUUGCUGUCACUUAUAGAUUGAUCCGCGCCGCAUUAGCUAGUUGGUAAGGUAACGGCUUACCAAGGCAACGAUGCGUAGCCGACCGGAGAGGGUGAUCGGCCACACUGGAACUGAGACACGGUCCAGACUCCUACGGGAGGCAGCAGUAGGGAAUCUUACGCAAUGGGCGAAAGCAUGACGGAGCAACGCCGCGUGAGUGAUGAAGGUCUUCGGAUCGUAAAACUCUGUUAUUAGGGAAGAACAAAUGUGUAAGUAACUAUGCACGUCUUGACGGUACCUAAUCAGAAAGCCACGGCUAACUACGUG
rnacentral:rRNA from 1 species